rnacentral:rRNA from 1 species
AGUGGCAGACGGGUGAGUAACAUGUGGGUAUCUACCCUUUGGCCUGGAAUAACACGAGGAAACUUGUGCUAAUACCGGAUAAGUCUUUACGGAGAAAGCUUUAUGCACCAUUGGAUGAGCCCGCACUUGAUUAGUUUGUUGGUAGGGUAAUGGCCUACCAAGACUAUGAUCAAUAGCUGAUUUGAGAGGAUGAUCAGCCACAUUGGGACUGAGACACGGCCCAAACUCCUACGGGAGGCAGCAGUGGGGAAUCUUGCACAACGGAGGAAACUCUGAUGCAGCGAUGCCGCGUGAGUGAAGAAGGCCUUUGGGUUGUAAAGCUCUUUCGUCGGGGAAGAAAAUGACUGUACCCGAAUAAGAAGGUCCGGCUAACUUCGUGCCAGCAGCCGCGGUAAUACGAAGGGACCUAGCGUAGUUCGGAAUUACUGGGCUUAAAGAGUUCGUAGGUGGUUGAAAAAGUUGGUGGUGAAAUCACAGAGCUUAACUCUGGAACUGCCAUCAAAACUUUUCAGCUAGAGUAUGAUAGAGGAAAGCAGAAUUUCUAGUGUAGAGGUGAAAUUCGUAGAUAUUAGAAAGAAUACCAAUUGCGAAGGCAGCUUUCUGGAUCAUUACUGACACUGAGGAACGAAAGCAUGGGUAGCGAAGAGGAUUAGAUACCCUCGUAGUCCAUGCCGA